rnacentral:rRNA from 1 species
AAACCAGCACCUCAAGUGGUCAGGAUGAUUAUUGGGCCUAAAGCAUCCGUAGCCUGCUCUGUAAGUUUUCGGUUAAAUCUGUACGCUCAACGUACAGGCUGCCGGGAAUACUGCAGAGCUAGGGAGUGGGAGAGGUAGACGGUACUCGGGAGGAAGGGGUAAAAUCCUUUGAUCUCUCGAUGACCACCUGUGGCGAAGGCGGUCUACCAGAACACGUUCGACGGUGAGGGAUGAAAGCUGGGGGAGCAAACCGGAUUAGAAACCCGAGUAGUCC